rnacentral:rRNA from 1 species
CCUACGGGAGGCAGCAGUGGGGGAUAUUGCACAAUGGGGGAAACCCUGAUGCAGCGACGCCGCGUGGGUGAAGAAGCGCCUCGGCGCGUAAAGCCCUGUCAGCAGGGAAGAAAAUGACGGUACCUGAAGAAGAAGCCCCGGAUAACUACGUGCCAGCAGCCGCGGUAAUACGUAGGGGGCAAGCGUUAUCCGGAUGUACUGGGCGUAAAGGGGGCGCAGCCGGCGAUGCAAGCCAGGAGUGAAAGCCCGGGGCCCAACCCCGGGACUGCUCGUGGAACUGCGUGGCUAGAGUGCAGGAGGGGCAGGCGGAAUUCCUGGUGUAGCGGUGAAAUGCGUAGAUAUCAGGAGGAACACCGGUGGCGAAGGCGGCCUGCUGGCCUGCAACUGACGUUGAGGCCCGAAAGCGUGGGGAGCAAACAGGAUUAGAUACCCGGGUAGUC